UACGUAGGGUGCAAGCGUUAAUCGGAAUUACUGGGCGUAAAGCGUGCGCAGGCGGUUUUGUAAGUCUGACGUGAAAUCCCCGGGCUCAACCUGGGAAUUGCGUUGGAGACUGCAAGGCUAGAAUCUGGCAGAGGGGGGUAGAAUUCCACGUGUAGCAGUGAAAUGCGUAGAGAUGUGGAGGAACACCGAUGGCGAAGGCAGCCCCCUGGGUCAAGAUUGACGCUCAUGCGACGAAAGCG
rnacentral:rRNA from 1 species